rnacentral:rRNA from 1 species
UAGGGAAUCUUCCGCAAUGGGCGAAAGCCUGACGGAGCAACGCCGCGUGAGUGAUGAAGGUCUUCGGAUCGUAAAACUCUGUUAUUAGGGAAGAACAAAUGUGUAAGUAACUAUGCACGUCUUGACGGUACCUAAUCAGAAAGCCACGGCUAACUACGUGCCAGCAGCCGCGGUAAUACGUAGGUGGCAAGCGUUAUCCGGAAUUAUUGGGCGUAAAGCGCGCGUAGGCGGUUUUUUAAGUCUGAUGUGAAAGCCCACGGCUCAACCGUGGAGGGUCAUUGGAAACUGGAAAACUUGAGUGCAGAAGAGGAAAGUGGAAUUCCAUGUGUAGCAGUGAAAUGCGCAGAGAUAUGGAGGAACCCCAGUGGCGAAGGCGACUUUCUGGUCUGUAACUGACGCUGAUGUGCGAAAGCGUGGGGAUCAAACAGG